rnacentral:rRNA from 1 species
GACGAACGCUGGCGGCGUGCUUAACACAUGCAAGUCGAACGGAAAGGCCCCUUUGGGGGUACUCGAGUGGCGAACGGGUGCGUAACACGUGAGUAACCUGCCCUUGACUUCGGGAUAACUUCAGGAAACUGGGGCUAAUACCGGAUAGGAAUCCUUGCUGCAUGGUGGUGGUUGGAAAGCUUCGGCGGUUUUGGAUGGACUCGCGGCUUAUCAGCUUGUUGGUGGGGUAGUGGCUUACCAAGGCUUUGACGGGUAGCCGGCCUGAGAGGGCGACCGGCCACAUUGGGACUGAGAUACGGCCCAGACUCCUACGGGAGGCAGCAGUGGGGAAUAUUGCACAAUGGGCGGAAGCCUGAUGCAGCAACGCCGCGUGCGGGAUGACGGCCUUCGGGUUGUAAACCGCUUUCAGCAGGGGCGAAGCUUGUGGUGACGGUACCUGCAGAAGAAGCACCGGCUAACUACGUG